rnacentral:rRNA from 1 species
CUCCUACGGAGCGCAGCAGUGGGGAAUAUUGCACAAUGGGGAAACCCUGAUGCAGCAACGCCGCGUGAGUGAGGAAGUAUUUCGGUAUGUAAAGCUCUAUCAGCAGGGAAUAGAAAAGAAGGUACCUGAAAAAGAAGCCCCGGCUAACUACGUGCCAGCAGCCGCGGUAAUACGUAGGGGGCAAGCGUUAUCCGGAUUUACUGGGUGUAAAGGGAGCGUAGACGGAAAGGCAAGUCAGAAGUGAAAACUCAGGGCUCAACCCUGAGACUGCAUUUGAAACUGUGUUUCUUGAGUGCUGGAGAGGG